UGGCCAGACUCCUACGGGAGGCAGCAGUGGGGAAUAUUGCACAAUGGGGGAAACCCUGAUGCAGCGACGCCGCGUGAGCGAUGAAGUAUUUCGGUAUGUAAAGCUCUAUCAGCAGGGAAGAAAAUGACGGUACCUGACUAAGAAGCCCCGGCUAACUACGUGCCAGCAGCCGCGGUAAUACGUAGGGGGCAAGCGUUAUCCGGAUUUACUGGGUGUAAAGGGGGCGCAGACGGCAGCGCAAGCCAGGAGUGAAAGCCCGGGGCCCAACCCCGGGACUGCUCUUGGAACUGCGCGGCUGGAGUGCAGGAGGGGCAGGCGGAAUUCCUGGUGUAGCGGUGAAAUGCGUAGAUAUCAGGAGGAACACCGGUGGCGAAGGCGGCCUGCUGGACUGCGACUGACGCUGAAGCACGAGAGCGUGGGUAGCGAACAGGAUUAGAUACCCCGGUAAG
rnacentral:rRNA from 1 species